AGAAAACAACAAACUGCAAAAAUGGCAGCAGACAAAAAGUUUCCCGCCACUUGAAGGAGCUCCAUUUAUGGAGACGGGUGUACCAAAACAUAGCUCAAGGACGAUUGAGCAUGAAAGCCUUUGGUGUUUUUAUUUUUGUUAACUGUGCUAGUCAUGAACUUUAGUUUUGUCGGACAGGGGUUGGGUAAGAAAAAGGCACAUUUCAGAAAAACAAAAACCCUGUUCUUUUCGCAGUUUGUCAGAAGUCUUCAACGUGUUCUGAGCUGUUGAAAACAAUUGAAAUAGACACGAGACACACGUGCCCACGCAGUUUUGCAGUUGCCACCUCCAAGUAGUGUUUGUCCACUUCAAUCCAACAAGCCAUGGGAACAGGCGAAAAUGAUCCAGGCUAUUACGCAGGCCCAGGCAGUUCGACUUAGAGGACCGUAGGUCAUCUUUACAGCUGGACUAAUCUCGGGUACUUCUUGUUGAUCGACGUAGGGUGCCAGACCGUAAACGACCGCCAGACCAACAGCAGUAGAGAGCGUCCAUCCUAAACUGACUAAAAGCUUUCAAGAUAACCAUUUAAUCGAAAUGAAGAAUGUUUGGUGACGUGUAAAUACCAGCCCGUCCAGAUGCCUACAAGAAUGAUUUGCUGAAAUUUCGACUCACUUUGCAAGGCCCACAAGCUCCUAUUGGUGUAGAGGCUAUGAACGUAAAAUUGGCUAUCCUCCAGACAUUUUUGGCUGAUGUUAGUGGCCACGGCGGUUGGAAACGAAGAAGAUUUCAGUGCGACAAAGACAUCGUGAAAUUUCCAGGACUUCAUCAACGUCCGGCGAUAUGACCAAACCUUGAUUCAUAAGCUGAUGGGAUUCCACUCCUAACGGCACUACAAGAAAAAGAAGCAUCCAUGAAGGAUCCAUGGUACCUGGGAAACUGUUAGAAGCUCGGCCUCGAAGAGAAGAUGAACUUUUCUAAAUUGAGGAAAGAUGCCUCUAAAGUGACAGACACCACAAACGCCAUUCCGAAGCAAAUAAGGAGAAUUCCAAAACAAGUUGUAAACUGGUCCGGCAAAGAAUAGUAGAAACGCUUGCGCAACGCAGCAUAGAAUACAAUCAGAAAGUCGAAGUGAAUGAGGUAGACGCAAUACGUCAGCCUACCCAACGUAGGUACCUCCAUAGCCACGUGAACAAGCGAAAAUAAUCCAGGCAAUAACAAAAGCCCAAGCUGUUCGAUGUAAAGGUCCAUAAGUCAUUUGGACAACAGGACUAACCUCUGGCACUUUAGACUGGUCGACGUAAGGCGUCAACCCGUAAAUGAUGGCAAGGCCAACGGCAGUGGAAAGAGUCCAGCCCAAACUAACCAAAAGCUUGAACAACACAUACGUUGCUGUGAUUGCUUGGUGACAUGUAAAUACCAGCCGGCCCAAAUACCAAUCAGCUCCAUACGUGCGUGUGACCCAAAGGGUGGCACUGAGGUCGUCUCUAGCGUAAACGAAGAAAAUACUCGCUUGGCAGAGAACGGCAAUAAAGGCCAGCCAUGCCAGUCCAGGUUUCUUCCAACGCCAAAGCGGAUACACGAUUAGUGGUGAGAUGACAAAGAGUUGCAUAUCGACAGCCAAAUACCACGUUUGUCCCAUGCACUGAAAGAUAUUAAAUGAAGAAUGCUUAAGCCCAGUAAGGGAAAACGAAAAGAAUUGUCUUACCCCAUAGUCAGGAUCCAAUGGAAACAAAUUGUUAACUGUCCAAGAAAAAGGAAAAAUCAGUAGGCGUUGCGACAUGCGUUUGAAUACACAGUCACGCUGUACCAAUUAGGACCUGUCCCGACGUAGAUAGUUAGAGCUGCAAUGAAACCGAGAAUGAAGGCGUAGACGAUCGUCAAACGUAAAUAUCGAUGCAAAUAAUAAAGGCCGGCGUUGAAUUUUCCUUUGGUGCGGUCCAGUUCACGGAGCAGAAGGUACGAGACGAGCAACCCACUCAUCAAGAAAAAGGUGUCAACUGAAACAGUGGCAUUUCCAAUGGUUUGCAUCCCAACUGUUUUGAGAUCCUACAUUAUUUCGCUUCGACUGGCAGCAAGUGAAAAAGUGUGGCCUAUAACAACCCAGCAAGUGGAGAAAAAUCGGAUGCCAUGGACACAUCCGAGAUUGUCAUUUGCAGACGAAACAGAUACUUUCAUCGACAGGAUUUUUCGCCCAUUACUUAGAGCUGAGAAGCAAUGCAAUGCGGUCAGAGCUUUGCCGUCUGUUUUGGAGUCAAAAUCGGUCCCGCAGUACAUCCGCCAGGCUUCGUGAACUGUCGCUGCAACAACUAGUUUAGAUAAUAUCUUGAUUUUUUAACUACAUGACUGUGAUGGUGACACCGUCGAAGGGUGGAGGAUCGUUACUCUCUUUGAAGCAAUACUGUUCAUCUGUCACGGUCACCAGAGAUCUAUUUCCGAUGACAUAAAUUCCAAUAAGUUCGGCGACGGCUUGCCCGAGGUCAGCAGCAGUACAAGAUGACGGAAGGCAGAAUGUGGUACUUGGGUAAAGGUAAGUAUUUGAAUUGGCAACUGCCCGUUUGGGUUCGAUUCGAUCCGUUCCGAGAAGAUUGCCCAAGAUCUGAAAAAUUGUUACGAAGUUGCUCUUUUCGUUUACUUCUGUGGGCGGAAGGAUUUCUGACUCAUGAACAGUUCGAGUCAUGAAGAAAACGCUGCAGUACUGUCCGUCAAAGCCUGGUGCCCGAACAGCCAGACAUUCGUCGAAGAGUCCAUCCGCAUGAAUGUUAUUAGAUCCAAAAAGUCCAGGUGGUAGUUGUGCCGAAGACUCUUGCACUGGCGGAUUAAUAGCAAACAAUUAUGGUAAAGGAUUGCUUCUCAAGCCGUUUAACAUGUAAAAUUCUUUUUAUUUCAUUGUUCAAUAUUAUGAAAUGCACAGCUGUUAACGAAAAUACCAUGUCACGUGUAAUAGGUACUGCUUCGUAACGUUGUUAUCCGUUCUCCUUGUGACACCGGUCAUAGUGACAAAUGACUCAAAACAAAUAAGAUUGUGAUCGUUCUUUGAA